UACGGAGGGUGCGAGCGUUGUCCGGAUUUAUUGGGUUUAAAGGGUGCGUAGGUGGCUAUUUAAGUCAGUGGUGAAAUACAGCCGCUCAACGGUUGAGGUGCCAUUGAUACUGAUUAGCUUGAAAUAAUUGGAGGCUGCCGGAAUGGAUGGUGUAGCGGUGAAAUGCAUAGAUAUCAUCCAGAACACCGAUUGCGAAGGCAGGUGGCUACGAUUUAUUUGACACUGAGGCACGAAAGCAUGGGGGAGCAAACAGG
rnacentral:rRNA from 1 species